rnacentral:piRNA from 1 species
UGAAAGCCCCACUAAGCUUGAAUGCUGGUGU